UCAUGUUUAGGUUCGUAACCAAGUUAUUAAGUACAUUUUAGCAACUAGUAAGAAGCUGCCACGUAGAGAAUGUGUGGGCAGCAACACAGUUAUCUUUUUUUCUCGUACAUGCACUGUCCAUCAACAGUACUAGAAGCACCAGCAGUACAGCAAAAUAGUGGGAAGUCCAUCUUCAACCACACAGCUGUCCGCGCUGUGUGCGUAUUUUCUCGAAGCAUCUCGCCC
rnacentral:lncRNA from 1 species